rnacentral:rRNA from 1 species
GAUGAACGCUGGCGGCGUGCCUAAUACAUGCAAGUCGAGCGAACAGACGAGAAGCUUGCUCCUCUGACGUUAGCGGCGGACGGGUGAGUAACACGUGGAUAACCUACCUAUAAGACUGGGAUAACUUCGGGAAACCGGAGCUAAUACCGGAUAAUAUUUUGAACCGCAUGGUUCAAUAGUGAAAGACGGUCUUGCUGUCACUUAUAGAUGGAUCCGCGCCGCAUUAGCUAGUUGGUAAGGUAACGGCUUACCAAGGCGACGAUGCGUAGCCGACCUGAGAGGGUGAUCGGCCACACUGGAACUGAGACACGGUCCAGACUCCUACGGGAGGCAGCAGUAGGGAAUCUUCCGCAAUGGGCGAAAGCCUGACGGAGCAACGCCGCGUGAGUGAUGAAGGUCUUCGGAUCGUAAAACUCUGUUAUUAGGGAAGAACAAAUGUGUAAGUAACUAUGCACGUCUUGACGGUACCUAAUCAGAAAGCCACGGCUAACUACGUG